rnacentral:rRNA from 1 species
CGGAGGAAAAGAAACCAACUGGGAUUACCUUAGUAACGGCGAGUGAAGCGGUAAAAGCUCAAAUUUGAAAUCUGGUACUUUCAGUGCCCGAGUUGUAAUUUGUAGAAUUUGUCUUUGAUUAGGUCCUUGUCUAUGUUCCUUGGAACAGGACGUCAUAGAGGGUGAGAAUCCCGUUUGGCGAGGAUACCUUUUCUCUGUAAGACUUUUUCGAAGAGUCGAGUUGUUUGGGAAUGCAGCUCAAAGUGGGUGGUAAAUUCCAUCUAAAGCUAAAUAUUGGCGAGAGACCGAUAGCGAACAAGUACAGUGAUGGAAAGAUGAAAAGAACUUUGAAAAGAGAGUGAAAAAGUACGUGAAAUUGUUGAAAGGGAAGGGCAUUUGAUCAGACAUGGUGUUUUUUUAAUGUGCAAGUCUCUCGUGGACAUGUGCCUCUGGAAAUUAACACUGGGCCAACAUCAGUUCUGGCGGCAGGAUAAAUCAUUAAGAAUGUAGCUACCUCGGUAGUGUUAUAGCUUUUUGGAAUACUGCCAGCUGGGAUUGAGGACUGCGCUUCGGCAAGGAUGUUGGCAUAAUGGUUAAAUGCCGCCCGUCUUGA